GACAGAGCUGCAUUUCCUAUUAUUACUAUGACAAAUACUCAGACCUAAGAGAGUCUUUCUUUACAAAGAAUUUGAAACUAUAAAAGAUGAAGAAAAAAUCUAAUAUUUAUUGGGUGAAAAGCCAAAAUGUGCAGUUUUGGCAGCCGUGACAGAUGUGUCCUCUUGCCACAACCUGAGGGACAGCCAGUGAAAAAUGCAAAGUAAUGUCGAUAAUAUUUCCCAUUUUGUAUUGUCUUUCAUACCACGUCAUGUGUCUUCUCAGUCAUGUUGACACUGGUCUACUACCAGGUCAUGUGUCUUCUCAGUCAUGUUGACACUGGUCUACUACCAGGUCAUGUGUCUUCUCAGUCAUGUUGACACUGGUCUACUACCAGGUCAUGUGUCUCCUCAGUCAUGUUGACACUGGUCUACUACCAGGUCAUGUGUCUUCUCAGUCAUGUUGACACUGGUCUACUACCAGGUCAUGUGUCUUCUCAGUCAUGUUGACACUGGUCUACUACCAGGUCAUGUGUCUUCUCAGUCAUGUUGACACUGGUCUACUACCAGGUCAUGUGUCUUCUCAGUCAUGUUGACACUGGUCUUCUACCAGGUCAUGUGUCUUCUCAGUCAUGUUGACACUGGUCUACUACCAGGUCAUGUGUCUUCUCAGUCAUGUUGACACUGGUCUACUACCAGGUCAUGUGUCUUCUCAGUCAUGUUGACACUGGUCUACUACCAGGUCAUGUGUCUUCUCAGUCAUGUUGACACUGGUCUACUACCAGGUCAUGUGUCUCCUCAGUCAUGUUGACACUGGUCUACUACCAGGUCAUGUGUCUUCUCAGUCAUGUUGACACUGGUCUACUACCAGGUCAUGUGUCUUCUCAGUCAUGUUGACACUGGUCUACUACCAGGUCAUGUGUCUUCUCAGUCAUGUUGACACUGGUCUACUACCAGGUCAUGUGUCUCCUCAGUCAUGUUGACACUGGUCUACUACCAGGUCAUGUGUCUUCUCAGUCAUGUUGACACUGGUCUACUACCAGGUCAUGUGUCUUCUCAGUCAUGUUGACACUGGUCUACUACCAGGUCAUGUGUCU